AGUGAACGCUGGCGGUAGGCCUAACACAUGCAAGUCGAACGGCAGCACAGUAAGAGCUUGCUCUUACGGGUGGCGAGUGGCGGACGGGUGAGGAAUACAUCGGAAUCUACUUUUUCGUGGGGGAUAACGUAGGGAAACUUACGCUAAUACCGCAUACGACCUACGGGUGAAAGCAGGGGAUCUUCGGACCUUGCGCGAUUGAAUGAGCCGAUGUCGGAUUAGCUAGUUGGCGGGGUAAAGGCCCACCAAGGCGACGAUCCGUAGCUGGUCUGAGAGGAUGAUCAGCCACACUGGAACUGAGACACGGUCCAGACUCCUACGGGAGGCAGCAGUGGGGAAUAUUGGACAAUGGGCGUAAGCCUGAUCCAGCCAUACCGCGUGGGUGAAGAAGGCCUUCGGGUUGUAAAGCCCUUUUGUUGGGUAAGAAAAGCAGCAGGUUAAUACCCCGCUGUUCUGACGGUACCCAAAGAAUAAGCACCGGCUAACUUCGUG
rnacentral:rRNA from 1 species